rnacentral:lncRNA from 1 species
UGUGAGUUAAUCGUUAGUUAAGUUCAAAAAAAAAAAAAAGAAAUUGUCAGUUUUCAGUUUGCUCUUGUUCGAAUUCCGUUUAUUACCCGUUCGUUGAUACUUGCUGUUUUUGUCACUUCUUUUGCAUCCGCAGAUGGAGAACAACGCCGAAGCUCCCUUGGACCCUAUUGCAGCCACAUUAGCUGCUAUCCAAGCCACUCUCCAAACGUUUGGAGACCGCAUGACCCGUCUCGAGCAACC